rnacentral:lncRNA from 1 species
UUCUAGUUCACAUUGGCCAAUUCUAUAUACCCAUUGACUUCAUAGUCAUCGAUAUAAAGGAAGAUUCUAAUAUACCUAUCAUUUUAAGACCACAUCCGGUGCGAGAAUAGACGUGAAAUGAGGGAAGUUAACAUUUGAGGUAGAGAAGAGAAAAUCGAAUUUAUCCUUUCGUAAUUUAUAAACACCCCUGCUAUAGACGACACUUGUUAUUUUGUAGACAUCAUUGAUGAAUGCAUAAAAG